rnacentral:rRNA from 1 species
AACGAACGCUGGCGGCAGGCUUAACACAUGCAAGUCGAGCGCCUUGGCAACAAGGAGCGGCAGACGGGUGAGUAACGCGUGGGAAUCUACCGUACCCUACGGAAUAACGCAUGGAAACGUGUGCUAAUACCGUAUACGCCCUUAGGGGGAAGAUUUAUCGGGGUAUGAUGAGCCCGCGUUGGAUUAGCUAGUUGGUGGGGUAAAGGCCUACCAAGGCGACGAUCCAUAGCUGGUCUGAGAGGAUGAUCAGCCACACUGGGACUGAGACACGGCCCAGACUCCUACGGGAGGCAGCAGUGGGGAAUAUUGGACAAUAGGGCGAAAGACCUGAUCCAGCAAUG